CAAUUAGUGUGUAUAGGAGUGGUUUUACUGUGGUGUGAUGUCACCCCUUCAGUGGAGGCUCCCAGGCUUCUCCCAGGGAGAAGGUUUCAUGCCUGACUCGAAGAGCAGCUACUGCUGGAAUUGUAAUCUUUCAUGUGGGGAGGAGAGGCCUUGAAGACUGGUAACCACUGCAUAGCCAGCACACAGCAGAAGAACUUUAGAAGAACCUAGAACUUUACAAAUGUAAAAUGGAACUCAAUGGGAUCACACUGGGAUCCUACUAUGGUGGGGGAGGACAGAGUUGAGAAGGAACAGAGAGAAAGACUGUGCCCAGUUUGACCACAAGAGGGCAGACUCUGAGGGCAUACUGGUGGCCACCCACAGGAAGUGAUGCAGUCCAGAGGAACGGUCGAGCCCUGUUUGUAGAGAGCAUGCGGUGGGAUUUUGGUCUGAACACAUGGCUACUGGGGAUUGUGAUAUGAACUGUUUAAAGAAAAUGGAAGCCUGCCUCGUGGGCUGCCUCGUCUCCUGUGUCCCCUUUUUGGUUCUUGUUUUUUUGGUUUGUUUGUAGUUUGAUUAACUUGUAACUUGCAUUUGCUUCAAAUGUGUUCCUGAGCCAGAGAAUGGUCAGUGUAACUAAACAGAGGAAAAGUACAUUCUUAACCUAAUGGAGCCAUGCCUUAUUUAUUAAACCCAGAUCCAAAAUAACCUGUCACUUUUCCACCAUGUGACACUUACCUUGACUCCAGGUUUGGAUAGCCAGCUAGCCAACAUAGCAUCCCUCUCUGUUUGAGCUGGCUUUUUGAGUAGGCUAAACUAGCUAGCUGCAUUCGCUAGCUAACUG